UUUGGUUAAGUUAGAAAGGGCGCACGGUGGAUGCCUUGACACUAGGAGUCGAUGAAGGACGGGACUAACGCCGAUAUGCUUCGGGGAGCUGUAAGUAAGCUUUGAUCCGAAGAUUUCCGAAUGGGGAAACCCACCAUACGUAAUGGUAUGGUAUCCUUAUCUGAAUACAUAGGGUAAGGAAGACAGACCCAGGGAACUGAAACAUCUAAGUACCUGGAGGAAGAGAAAGCAAAUGCGAUUUCCUGAGUAGCGGCGAGCGAAACGGAACAUAGCCCAAACCAAGAGGCUUGCCUCUUGGGGUUGUAGGACAUUCUAUACGGAGUUACAAAGGAACGAGGUAGACGAAGCGACCUGGAAAGGUCCGUCGUAGAGGGUAACAACCCCGUAGUCGAAACUUCGUUCUCUCUUGAAUGUAUCCUGAGUACGGCGGAACACGUGAAAUUCCGUCGGAAUCUGGGAGGACCAUCUCCCAAGGCUAAAUACUCCCUAGUGAUCGAUAGUGAACCAGUACCGUGAGGGAAAGGUGAAAAGCACCCCGGAAGGGGAGUGAAAGAGAUCCUGAAACCGUGUGCCUACAAAUAGUCAGAGCCCGUUAACGGGUGAUGGCGUGCCUUUUGUAGAAUGAACCGGCGAGUUACGAUCCCGUGCGAGGUUAAGCUGAAGAGGCGGAGCCGCAGCGAAAGCGAGUCUGAAUAGGGCGUUUAGUACGUGGUCGUAGACCCGAAACCAGGUGAUCUACCCAUGUCCAGGGUGAAGUUCAGGUAACACUGAAUGGAGGCCCGAACCCACGCACGUUGAAAAGUGCGGGGAUGAGGUGUGGGUAGCGGA
rnacentral:rRNA from 1 species